rnacentral:rRNA from 1 species
GAUGAACGCUAGCUACAGGCUUAACACAUGCAAGUCGAGGGGCAGCAUGAUUGAAGCUUGCUUCAAUCGAUGGCGACCGGCGCACGGGUGAGUAACACGUAUCCAACCUGCCGAUAACUCGGGGAUAGCCUUUCGAAAGAAAGAUUAAUACCCGAUAGUAUAGUAUUUCCGCAUGGUUUCACUAUUAAAGAACUUCGGUUAUCGAUGGGGAUGCGUUCCAUUAGAUAGUUGGCGGGGUAACGGCCCACCAAGUCAACGAUGGAUAGGGGUUCUGAGAGGAAGGUCCCCCACAUUGGAACUGAGACCCGGUCCAAACUCCUACGGGAGGCAGCAGUGAGGAAUAUUGGUCAAUGGACGAGAGUCUGAACCAGCCAAGUAGCGUGAAGGAUGACUGCCCUAUGGGUUGUAAACUUCUUUUAUACGGGAAUAAAGUGGAGUAUGCAUACUCCUUUGUAUGUACCGUAUGAAUAAGGAUCGGCUAACUCCGUG